GCGCGGGGGGAACAGGGACAAAACCAAGGGAGGGGGAAACGGCCAGUUACAGCGAAAUGGCACGAACCCCCCACGCACAGCGCGAAGUGGUACGGUCUGGCCCCCAACCCUUGCGGUGGGUGAGAUAAUCUGGGUUUUGUUGGUGGGCGUUCCUUGAGUGUAUUGAUAACUCUUCUUUUGAUGGAGUCUCUAAUUUUUUGCGAAGUUUCUGGAAUCCCACCAUUUCUACCGUAUCAAUCACCUGAAAGCUCGGGUUCUCGGAAGCACCGAGAAAAAGCUCAAAUUCAACAGGAGGUUGUCAGGGCUUAAAAAAACAAUGUGGUGGCAGACCCCCCAAAAAGGACCAUGCACUGUCUUUCACCAAAGUAUAACAUCUCAUUAGUGUCAUCUAAGUUAUAAGGCUGGAAACAAGAUCUCACAGUAUAGUAGAGAAGAAUGAUGUAACCAUCUAACCAUAUGGAUGCUAUGAAAGCAUCUGAGGAGCUCUGGAAGCAAGAAGUGAGCAAUCGAUCCAUCUGGUAGAUUCGAGGAAGACUUCACAGUUGGCCUAUGAAGGCUGAGUAUGAUUUUGAAAAGUGGACAAGAUGAUGGAGGUAGGAGUGGGGCAAUGUGUAAAGCAGGCAGAUAUUCCAGCAGAGGAAACAGCAUAAUCAAAGGCAUAAAAGCAUGGAAGUACUUAAUGUGUUUGCAAAGGUGUGAUCA